rnacentral:rRNA from 1 species
GGGAAACGACAUCGAAAGCUUGCUUUUGAUGGGCGUCGACCGGCGCACGGGUGAGUAACGCGUAUCCAACCUGCCCACCACUUGGGGAUAACCUUGCGAAAGUAAGACUAAUACCCAAUGAUAUCUCUAGAAGACAUCUGAAAGAGAUUAAAGAUUUAUCGGUGAUGGAUGGGGAUGCGUCUGAUUAGCUUGUUGGCGGGGUAACGGCCCACCAAGGCUACGAUCAGUAGGGGUUCUGAGAGGAAGGUCCCCCACAUUGGAACUGAGACACGGUCCAAACUCCUACGGGAGGCAGCAGUGAGGAAUAUUGGUCAAUGGACGAGAGUCUGAACCAGCCAAGUAGCGUGCAGGAUGACGGCCCUAUGGGUUGUAAACUGCUUUUAUAAGGGAAUAAAGUGAGUCUCGUGAGACUUUUUGCAUGUACCUUAUGAAUAAGGACCGGCUAAUUCCGUGCCAGCAGCCGCGGUAAUACGGAAGGUCCGGGCGUUAUCCGGAUUUAUUGGGUUUAAAGGGAGCGUAGGCCGGAGAUUAAGCGUGUUGUGAAAUGUAGAUGCUCAACAUCUGCACUGCAGCGCGAAUUGGUUUCCUUGAGUACGCACAAAGUGGGCGGAAUUCGUGGUGUAGCGGUGAAAU